rnacentral:rRNA from 1 species
UACGGAGGGUGCGAGCGUUAAUCGGAAUUACUGGGCGUAAAGCGCACGCAGGUGGUUAUACAAGUCAGAUGUGAAAGCCCGGGGCUUAACCUCGGAACUGCAUUUGAAACUGUAUGACUAGAGUCUCGGAGAGGGGAGUGGAAUUCCAGGUGUAGCGGUGAAAUGCGUAGAGAUCUGGAGGAACAUCAAUGGCGAAGGCAGCUCUCUGGCCGAAGACUGACACUCAUGUGCGAAAGUGUGGGUAGCGAACAGG